UGACUAGAUGAUCACAUUCAGC
rnacentral:miRNA from 1 species